rnacentral:rRNA from 1 species
GGCAGAGGUGGCAAGCGUUGUUCGGAUUCAUUGGGUGUAAAGGGUUCGUAGGUGGUCGAAUAAGUCUGACGUGAAAUCCCAUGGCUCAACCGUGGAACUGCGUUGGAGACUGUACGACUUGAGUACCGCAGAGGUAAAGGGAAUUCCCGGUGUAAGGGUGAAAUCUGUAGAUAUCGGGAGGAACACCAGUGGCGAAGGCGCUUUACUGGGCGGUAACUGACACUGAGGAACGAAAGCAAGGGGAGCAAACAGG